rnacentral:rRNA from 1 species
AACGAACGCUGGCGGCAGGCCUAACACAUGCAAGUCGAACGCUGUAGCAAUACAGAGUGGCAGACGGGUGAGUAACGCGUGGGAACAUGCCCUUCGGUUCGGAAUAACUCAGGGAAACUUGAGCUAAUACCGGAUACGCCCUUAGGGGGAAAGAUUAUUGCCGAAGGAUUGGCCCGCGUCCGAUUAGCUAGUUGGUGGGGUAAAGGCUCACCAAGGCGACGAUCGGUAGCUGGUCUGAGGGGAUGAUCAGCCACACUGGGACUGAGACACGGCCCAGACUCCUACGGGAGGCAGCAGUGGGGAAUAUUGGACAAUGGGCGCAAGCCUGAUCCAGCCAUGCCGCGUGAGUGAUGAAGGCCCUAGGGUUGUAAAGCUCUUUCGCCAGGGACGAUAAUGACGGUACCUGGAUAAGAAGCCCCGGCUAACUUCGUGCCAGCAGCCGCCGUAA